rnacentral:lncRNA from 1 species
GACAAGAGACAGGCAAGACGCAUAGGGCGCUUUGCUGGAGGCAGCUCGGGAGCUUUCCAAGUAAGAAUAAGUAUCCAGUAUGGAAGAGCUGGCCAGUUUUCCUUUCUACUCUCGCCUUCUUGCAUGGCAUCUGAGUCGGCGUGUCUAGAGACCAAUCUCUGAGCACUGCCCUGCAUCCCUUCCUCCUCCUCAGGCCCGAUGCUCUCCCAGUUUUUAUCAUCUAAAACAUGAACCGUAACAGUUCAAGUGUCUGUGAUGGUGCGACUCUACCGCUCUCUCCCAUCUGUACUGCUGCACGGCAUGGACGCUCCUUGUCUCCUUGUUUUUCCAUCCCUCAGUAUCACAAUUACCUUUACAAAAUGCAAACCUAAUCAAGUUUCC